CAGAAGCUGACCUGAUUCCAAUGAAGAUUCGAGAGAGCGCUUGUUUGAUUUGGAGCUAUUUUCGUCAAAAUACUGGGACAUAAUUCUGAAAGACCAUGGAGCUGUGUGCACUGUGCGAAAAGACCAUCGACGCAGAUGUGAAGACUGUCAUACCAACUACUAGAGGAAGAGACUCUAAAACACUGACCAGGAGACUGACUGUCCAAUAGAGCUGGAAGCAGUUCCCAAACUUGAGUUCCCUCAUAUAGGAAAAGGAUAUUGUUGUGUGUAGCGAGUGAAUUCGAGGAAAGGGAAGAUCUUGAAGUGAUCUCAGACUCUUCCUUGCAUGACAAACUAUUGAAGGGUGAACUGUCACAUGGCUCUGUGAAAAACAAUGACCAUCUCACCAGGAUCAGCAGAAAGCUGCAUGAAACGAAACUGACACUGACUGGAAGAACUAGUGAACUGUGGCUUCAGUAUAUGUCUAUGGUUGAUAUAAUAAAAUAUUUUCUGGAUGCUGGUUCCUUCACCGGUCAGCUGUACAUAAAAUACUCCCAUAUCUUGCUGUAGCUAGACACAAGUUAUAUACAAACUCCGCUAUCUGUUCCUGCAACAGAUAACCAAACUUGACAAAACCAACCAGGUUGUCGAUAACGCUUCACGGAUGGAUACCAUGUCGUGAGACGAACCAACAUAUACUAGGAUGACAUUUCACCAGAUUUUACUAUUGAGCAGACCCUGAUGCGCGGUGUAAAACAGCAGGUGGCCUCAUUCAAGGGACAGGAAUAACCGAAUCGCAACAUGCAAAGUGAGUGCAUCCCAUGCCAGCAUGUGCUGAUAUAAACAAUGCCAUGCAGGAAGUCACUGGAACUCGGCGACGUAUGGCGAUCAGCACAGAGAGUUGGAUCCACACAAACGGCAAAGGACACAGAGGAUAUAAUUGUGAUUACAUCCUACCUUUGGGAAAGAAAUCAAUUUGCUGACGGUCCCACCCUUAGAAACAUUGCUAUUGGUGUUAUCUCGAAAAUUCAUUUGUCAACGUUAACACGACAAAGACAUUUUGUUUAUGUCUUAAAAUUCUCAAAGCCAAACAGCAGCAGAGAUUACCCUGAAGAAGAAGGAAGUCCGGACGCAGGAGAAAAACAUGUCUGUAACGUGGAUGGCAGGCCACAAUCAGUCGACAUGCAACUUUUGCAAUUUGUCAUAACAGCAGCCAAUACCAUCUCUGAUGACAUAAAAUAAGGCAGCACUGGCAAAUGAGCUUUGGAAACUUGUUCUUGUCAAUGGUAACGCUCUCAGUCCGUCAAUACAAAAUGACGUACAGUUAGUAAUUGAUGAAGGCUCCUUACUUCAUCGACUGAAUACUAUCCUGAAGCUGUUGUUGUGAUUGGCGGAUUGCCAAAACCCACAACAAAAUAAAUGACCCACCUAAGGCGUGCUAAGGUAUGGAAAGCGAAUGCUGUUCAUUUUGUGCCUGAUAUGAUGCUCAGACCUACAAAAGAGCAUUUUUUGUUUUUAUUACACCAAAGACAACAAGCAGCGUUCCAUUUGUGCCCUUGGCAGAUCUUUGGAAAAUAUAUACACAAUCAUGUAUGCAAAAGCUGAUGAUGACUUACAGAUCGUCACUGUAACAACAGAGUGUGCAAAAAGCAAUGUUACUGCAAGGGUUGGAGAAGACACUGAUCUGCUCAUAUAUGGAUGUAAAACGAAUCCAUUCUAGCAAACAUGAGUAUAACACCGUCCAGUAAACAGGUGGUGGAUGCGGUGGUGGUGGUGGAUGCGAUGGCGGAUGUGGUGGUGGUAGCGGCGGUGGUGGAUGUGGUGGCGGUGGUGGUGGUGGUGCAGAAUACGUUUUGGAAAUCGAAUAUAAGAAAAAAUAAAUCAACAUGGAUGUAAAACGAAUCCAUUCUAGCAAACAUGAGUAUAACACCGUCUAGUAAACAGGUGGUGGCGGUGCCUUCACCAGGUGUUCACCUUCACAUCAAACUAAACCCACAACCACCAUCACCACCGCCACCACAUCCACCACCACCACACUACCACCACCAGAUUUGUCACAUCUGUGUUGUUUAGAAAUAGUACAAUAGCAUCA
rnacentral:lncRNA from 1 species